UCGCGAAAACUUUGCAAUACACGAAAGUGUGACAGGGUCAUCCCGAGUGCCGACCGCUGAGGUUGGCUUUUACCCAGUCUAGAAAGCUGGGGGAAUAAGGAGAGGGCAAGUCUGGUGUCAGCCGCCGCGGUAAUACCAGCUCUUCGAGUGGUGUGGACGUUUAUUGGGCCUAAAGCAUCCGUAGCUGGCUGUGCAAGUCCCCUGUUAAACCCACCGAUUUAAUCGUUGGUCUGCGGGGGAUACUGCUCGGCUAGGGGACGAGAGAGGCAGACGGUAUUCCCGGGGUAGGGGUGAAAUCCUAUAAUCCCGGGAAGACCACCAGUGGCGAAGGCUGUCUGCUAGAACGCGCCCGACGGUGAGGGAUGAAAGCUGGGGGAGCGAACCGGAUUAGAUACCCGGGUAGUCCCAGCUGUAAACGAUGCAGACUAGGUGUUUGAACGGCCACGUGCCGUUCUAGUGCCGCAGGGAGCUGUUAAGUCUGCCGCCUGGGGAUACGAUCGCAAGGUUGAAACUUAAGGAAUUGGCGGGGAGCGACCACG
rnacentral:rRNA from 1 species